AGAAUCCAACAUCAAUUUCCAAUGUAUCCUUAUGACCACCACCCAGCGAGGUAGAUUAUGUUAAGAGAGACCGCGAGUCUGGCUCAGGAUCAUACAGUGCUGGAGAUGUAAGCAGCUGAGCCUGAAAGUGCCAUUUUAAAGAGUUUGUGAAGCACCUAAUAAUGGAGAAGAAUAUGUUUUUAUAUUGUAAUCUGAAGAAGUUGAAUAUACAAUAAUUCUUGCAUUA